rnacentral:rRNA from 1 species
UACGUGGGUGGCAAGCGUUGUCCGGAUUUACUGGGCGUAAAGAGCGCGCAGGCGGUCGUUCAAGUCGCGUGUGAAAGCCCCCGGCUCAACUGGGGAGGGUCACGCGAUACUGAUUGACUCGAAGGCAGGAGAGGGUAGUGGAAUUCCCGGUGUAGUGGUGAAAUGCGUAGAUAUCGGGAGGAACACGAGUGGCGAAGGCGACUACCGGGCCGGUUCUUGACGCUGAGGCGCGAAAGCUAGGGGAGCAAACGGG